rnacentral:tRNA from 1 species
GGCUCAGUGGCAGAGCGUUCGACUGUUAAUCGAAUGGUCGUAGGUUUGACCCCUAAC